CCCGGUAGCCAGGUUUGCAACGCCUGAACCGA
rnacentral:scRNA from 1 species